UACGUAGGUCCCGAGCGUUGUCCGGAUUUAUUGGGCGUAAAGCGAGCGCAGGUGGUUUAUUAAGUCUGGUGUAAAAGGCAUUGGCUCAACCAUUGUAUGCAUUGGAAACUGGUAGACUUGAGUGCAGGAGAGGAGAGUGGAAUUCCAUGUGUAGCGGCGAAAUGCGUAGAUAUAUGGAGGAACACCGGUGGCGAAAGCGGCUCUCUGGCCUGUAACUGACACUGAGGCUCGAAAGCGUGGGGAGCAAACAGG
rnacentral:rRNA from 1 species